ACGGAAGGCAGCAGUGGGGAAUAUUGCACAAUGGGCGAAAGCCUGAUGCAGCGACGCCGCGUGAGUGAUGAAGUAUUUCGGUAUGUAAAGCUCUAUCAGCAGGGAAGAAAAUGACGGUACCUGACUAAGAAGCCCCGGCUAACUACGUGCCAGCAGCCGCGGUAAUACGUAGGGGGCAAGCGUUAUCCGGAUUUACUGGGUGUAAAGGGAGCGUAGGUGGCAAGACAAGCCAGAAGUGAAAAUCCGGGGCUCAACCUCGGAACUGCUUUUGGAACUGUCUAGCUAGAGUGCAGGAGAGGUAAGCGGAAUUCCUAGUGUAGCGGUGAAAUGCGUAGAUAUUAGGAGGAACACCAGUGGCGAAGGCGGCUUACUGGACUGUAACUGACACUGAGGCUCGAAAGCGUGGGGAGCAAACAGGAUUAGAUACCCUGGUA
rnacentral:rRNA from 1 species